UCUGACCGUGCAAAGGUAGCGUAAUCACUCGUUCUUUAAAUAGGGACUUGUAUCAACGGCACCACGAGGGUCGCACUGUCUCCCCCCUCUAAUCAGUGAACCUGAUCUCCCCGUGAAGAAGCGGGGAUGAUAAUAUAAGACGAGAAGACCCCAUGGAGCUUUAAACCUAAUGCAAUCUAAUUAGAUAAAUCCCCACAUAAUUUAAAUAUGCAUAACGGCUUUAGGUUGGGGUGACCGCGGAGUAAAAACAAACCUCCACAACGAAAAGAACUGAAUCUUUAUUCAAGAGCUACUACUCUAAAAAUUAGUAUACUAACGAACAAUGACCCGACAAUCGAUCAAUGGACCAAGUUACCCUGGGGAUAACAGCGCAAUCUACUUCAAGAGCCCAUAUCGACAAGUAGGCUUACGACCUCGAUGUUGGAUCAGGGUAUCCCAGUGGUGCAACCGCUACUAAUGGUU
rnacentral:rRNA from 1 species